GGGACAACAAGUGGCCAUUGCCAUGGCGGGGGAGAAAGCUCAGUCGAAGAAGAAUAAGAAGAAGAAGAAGACGAAGAAGAAGUACU